rnacentral:rRNA from 1 species
GACGAACGCUGGCGGCGUGCUUAACACAUGCAAGUCGAACGGAAAGGCCUCUUUCGGGGGGUACUCGAGUGGCGAACGGGUGAGUAACACGUGAGUAACCUGCCCUUGACUUUGGGAUAACUUCAGGAAACUGGGGCUAAUACCGGAUAGGAGCUCCUGCUGCAUGGUGGGGGUUGGAAAGUUUCGGCGGUUGGGGAUGGACUCGCGGCUGAUCAGCUUGUUGGUGGGGUAGUGGCUUACCAAGGCUUUGACGGGUAGCCGGCCUGAGAGGGUAACCGGCCACAUUGGGACUGAGAGACGGCCCAGACUACUACGGGAGGCAGCAGUGGGGAAUAUUGCACAAUGGGUGGAAGCCUGAUGCAGCAACGCCGUGCGCGGGAUGACGGUCUUCGGGUUGUAAACCGCUUUCGCUCAUGACGAAGCUUUGUGUGACGGUAGUGGGUAAAGAAGCACCGGCUAACUACGUG